rnacentral:sRNA from 1 species
UUUGAAUCAUACUCUGCAUCCUCUCUUGAGACAUGGUAGGA